AACACGACUCUCGGCAACGGAUAUCUCGGCUCUCGCAUCGAUGAAGAACGUAGCAAAAUGCGAUACCUGGUGUGAAUUGCAGAAUCCCGUGAACCAUCGAGUUUUUGAACGCAAGUUGCGCCCGAGACCUUCUGGUUGAGGGCACGCCUGCCUGGGCGUCACGC
rnacentral:rRNA from 1 species